UGUAGUUUACAUUUCCUUGCUUUCCUUAUUCUCUUGCUCUUGAUUGGCUUUGGGAAGGAUCGAUAUCACUGUGCUUUUUGAAAGCUGUGUUUAUGAACCACAAUAAUCCUUCAUUAAAGAUGCUGGCGCCCACGGGAAGGCGAAGAGUGUGUGUGGUGAGUGAGAGUGUGUGUAUUAGGUGGGGGGGAUGGAGGGAGGGAUGGGGGGGUUUUGUAAAUGACUCAUGGUUUGAUUUCGCUGCUGAAUAAAUGGGAUCCUCUAGAGAAGCCACUGCAGUGUUCAUAUCGCUCUCUCCAUCUCUCUCAAUUUUCAAUUCAAUUCAAUGGGGCUUUAUUGGCAUGGGAAACAUAUGUUUAUAUUGCCAAAGCAAGUGCAAUUAAAUAACGUAAGGGUUAGGGUUAGGGUUAGAAACAAAAAAACAUUGAAAACAUUUUUUCAUCAAACAUUGCAAGGAGUGUUUCAAUAUUUUAGUUAAAAAAAAAAAGUUUAACCUUUAUUUAACUAGGCAAGCCAGUUAAGAACAAAUUCUUAUUUACAAUGAUGGCCCUACCCCGGCCAAACUCAGACGACGCUGGGCCAAUUGUGCGCCUCCCUAUGGGACUCCCGAUCACGGCCGGAUGUGAUACAGCCUGGAUUCGAACCAGGGACUCAGGGAAAAUAGUUGUCUUGUGAAAAGUAGGGGAAGAGGUCGGCAUAUGAUUGGAGGAUAACGCUGUCAGUCUCAGGAAUGUCAGGACAAAACAGAACAUCUGGAAGAGGUCGGCAUAUGAUUGGAGGAUAAUGUUAGAAAGAGCAUUCUUGUACAUCUAUGUGAUGUCCCACCCCACCUGACUUAUUAUCAUCUAAUCUGUCUAUCUGGCAGGCGUUAGGUGCUGCAUCUAUCUGGCAGGCGUUAGGUGCUGCAUCUAUCUGGCAGGCGUUAGGUGCUGCAUCUAUCUGGCAGGCGUUAGGUGCUGCAUCUAUCUGGCAGGCGUUAGGUGCUGCAUCUAUCUGGCAGGCGUUAGGUGCUGCAUCUAUCUGGCAGGCGUUAGGUGCUGCAUCUAUCUGGCAGGCGUUAGGUGCUGCAUCUAUCUGGCAGGCGUUAGGUGCUGCAUCUAUCUGGCAGGCGUUAGGUGCUGCAUCUAUCUGGCAGGCGUUAGGUGCUGCAUCUAUCUGGCAGGCGUUAGGAGCUGCAUCUAUCUGGCAGGCGUUAGGCGCAGCAUCUAUCUGGCAGGCGUUAGGCGCAGCAUCUAUCUGGCAGGCGUUAGGCGCAGCAUCUAUCUGGCAGGCGUUAGGCGCAGCAUCUAUCUGGCAGGCGUUAGGCGCAGCAUCUAUCUGGCAGGCGUUAGGCGCAGCAUCUAUCUGGCAGGCGUUAGGCGCAGCAUCUAUCUGGCAGGCGUUAGGCGCUGCAUCAGUCUAUCUGGCAGACGUUAGGCGCUGCAUCCGUCUAUCUGGCAGGCGUUAGGCGCAGCAUCUAUCUGGCAGGCGUUAGGCGCUGCAUCAGUCUAUCUGGCAGGCGUUAGGCGCAGCAUCAGUCUAUCUGGCAGGCGUUAGGCGCAGCAUCUAUCU